CUGCUACUCCGUCUAUGUGGCUCCACAUUCUUUCACUGAGACCAACUGCCAUGGCUACACAGAAAACUCCUCGCUUCUCCAACAUUAUUUCACUUUGACUAUGGAUUGGGUGAAGGCAGCAUGAAUGAUCCCUGAAUAGGCCCCUGGGCGUAUUUAGCCAUUGGCUUUUGAUUAGGAGACAGAAGACGGCCAUCUAUCUACUUGAAAGCAAGAAAACCUUUUCUGAAGCAGAACCAAGGAAAGGAAAUCAUUUGGGCUCCUCCCUCACCAUCCACCCAACAGAAUCACCGACCAGGGGCCAACACCAACACCUCUUUCUGAAUUCCCUGCCUGUAGAAACCUGGAAGGAGAAGACAUUUUCACAAGCAGUGUUGAGGAUGGUCACUUCGUGCUCCUCUCACACGAGGAAUUCCAGGCAAAGCUUCAGUGACUGA
rnacentral:lncRNA from 1 species